CGAUGGACAACGGGUUGAUAUUCCCGUACCGGCAAAGAACCGCCCAUAUUCCGCGUAGUUUCGUUCAGCAUUUUGCUGUGCUUACGGUACCCCUUUUACGGUGUGCGGGAUAAGUGUUCAGGUGUGACGCAGGAAGGUAGCCAAGCCGGGCGAUGGUUGACCCGGUGUAAGUGUGUAACCCGGAGGGUAGGCAAAUCCGCCCUCCAUCUAAAGGGCCAGGCACGA
rnacentral:rRNA from 1 species